rnacentral:rRNA from 1 species
AUGCACGCUGGCGGCGUGCCUAAUACCUGCAAGUCGAGCGAACAGACGAGGAGCUUGCUCCUCUGACGUUAGCGGCGGACGGGUGAGUAACACGUGGAUAACCUACCUAUAAGACUGGGAUAACUUCGGGAAACCGGAGCUAAUACCGGAUAACAUGUUGAACCGCAUGGUUCAACAGUGAAAGACGGUCUUGCUGUCACUUAUAGAUGGAUCCGCGCCGCAUUAGCUAGUUGGUAAGGUAACGGCUUACAAAGGCAACGAUGCGUAGCCGACCUGAGAGGGUGAUCGGCCACACUGGAACUGAGACACGGUCCAGACUCCUACGGGAGGCAGCAGUAGGGAAUCUUCCGCAAUGGGCGAAAGCCUGACGGAGCAACGCCGCGUGAGUGAAGAAGGUCUUCGGAUCGUAAAACUCUGUUAUUAGGGAAGAACAAAUGUGUAAGUAACUAUGCACGUCUUGACGGUACCUAAUCAGAAAGCCACGGCUAACUACGUG